UUAUAGUACUCUUAAUGUAGU
rnacentral:piRNA from 1 species